GCGAGCGUUGUCCGGAAUUAUUGGGCGUAAAGAGCUUGUAGGCGGUUUGUCGCGUCUGCUGUGAAAUUUCGGGGCUCAACCCCGAACUUGCAGUGGGUACGGGCAGACUAGAGUGUGGUAGGGGAGACUGGAGUUCCUGGUGUAGCGGUGAAAUGCGCAGAUAUCAGGAGGAACACCGAUGGCGAAGGCAGGUCUCUGGGCCACUACUGACGCUGAGAAGCGAAAGCAUGGGGAGCGAACAGGAUUAGAUACCCUGGUAGUCCAUGCCGUAAACGUUGGGAACUAGGUGUGGGUCUCAUUCCACGAGGUCCGUGCCGCAGCUAACGCAUUAAGUUCCCCGCCUGGGGAGUACGGCCGCAAGGCUAAAACUCAAAGGAAUUGACGGGGGCCCGCACAAGCGGCGGAGCAUGCGGAUUAAUUCGAUGCAACGCGAAGAACCUUACCAAGGCUUGACAUGUGCCGGAAAAGUGCAGAGAUGUGCUCCCGCAAGGUCGGUACACAGGUGGUGCAUGGUUGUCGUCAGCUCGUGUCGUGAGAUGUUGGGUUAAGUCCCGCAACGAGCGCAACCCUCGUUCUAUGUUGCCAGCGGGUUAUGCCGGGGACUCAUAGGAGACUGCCGGGGUCAACUCGGAGGAAGGUGGGGAUGACGUCAAAUCAUCAUGCCCCUUAUGUCUUGGGCUUCACGCAUGCUACAAUGGCCAGUACAAAGGGCUGCGAUACCGCAAGGUGGAGCGAAUCCCAAAAAACUGGUCUCAGUUCGGAUUGGGGUCUGCAACUCGACCCCAUGAAGUCGGAGUCGCUAGUAAUCGCAGAUCAGCAACGCUGCGGUGAAUACGUUC
rnacentral:rRNA from 1 species